GCCAUUUUGGCUCAAUGAAUAGAGCGUCAGCAAGCAGAAUGAAGGAUCCCAGGUUCAAUUCCGGGAAAGGGCA
rfam:Myotis brandtii contig175732, whole genome shotgun sequence.